rnacentral:rRNA from 1 species
CACUGCAUUCUGUGCAGUAUCCUAAGUUGAAUACAUAGACUUAGAGAAGCGAACCCGGAGAACUGAACCAUCUAAGUACCCGGAGGAAAAGAAAUCAACCGAGAUUCCGCAAGUAGUGGCGAGCGAACGCGGAGGAGCCUGUACGUAAUAACUGUCGAGAUAGAAGAACAAGCUGGGAAGCUUGACCAUAGUGGGUGAUAGUCCCGUAUUCGAAAUCUCAAUAGUGGUACUAAGCGUACAAAAAGUAGGGCGGGACACGUGAAAUCCUGUCUGAAUAUGGGGGGACCAUCCUCCAAGGCUAAAUACUCAUCAUCGACCGAUAGUGAACCAGUACCGUGAGGGAAAGGCGAAAAGAACCCCGGGAGGGGAGUGAAAUAGAACCUGAAACCUGAUGCAUACAAACAGUGGGAGCACCCUUGUGGUGUGACUGCGUACCUUUUGUAUAAUGGGUCAACGACUUACAUUCAGUAGCGAGCUUAACCGAAUAGGGGAGGCGUAGGGAAACCGAGUCUUAAUAGGGCGAACAGUUGCUGGGUGUAGACCCGAAACCGAGUGAUCUAUCCAUGGCCAGGUUGAAGGUGCCGUAACAGGUACUGGAGGACCGAACCCACGCAUGUUGCAAAAUGCGGGGAUGAGCUGUGGAUAGGGGUGAAAGGCUAAACAAACUCGGAGAUAGCUGGUUCUCCCCGAAAACUAUUUAGGUAGUGCCUCGAGCAAGACACUGAUGGGGGUAAAGCACUGUUAUGGCUAGGGGGUUAUUGCAACUUACCAACCCAUGGCAAACUAAGAAUACCAUCAAGUGGUUCCUCGGGAGACAGACAGCGGGUGCUAACGUCCGUUGUCAAGAGGGAAACAACCCAGACCGCCAGCUAAGGUCCCAAAUGAUAGAUUAAGUGGUAAACGAAGUGGGAAGGCCCAGACAGCCAGGAUGUUGGCUUAGAAGCAGCCAUCAUUUAAAGAAAGCGUAAUAGCUCACUGGUCGAGUCGUCCUGCGCGGAAGAUGUAACGGGGCUCAAAUCUAUAACCGAAGCUGCGGAUGCCAGUUUACUGGCAUGGUAGGGGAGCGUUCUGUAGGCCGAUGAAGGUGCAUUGUAAAGUGUGCUGGAGGUAUCAGAAGUGCGAAUGUUGACAUGAGUAGCGAUAAAGCGGGUGAAAAGCCCGCUCGCCGAAAGCCCAAGGUUUCCUACGCAACGUUCAUCGGCGUAGGGUGAGUCGGCCCCUAAGGCGAGGCAGAAAUGCGUAGUCGAUGGGAAACAGGUUAAUAUUCCUGUACUUGAUUCAAAUGCGAUGUGGGGACGGAGAAGGUUAGGUUAGCAAGCUGUUGGAAUAGCUUGUUUAAGCCGGUAGGUGGAAGACUUAGGCAAAUCCGGGUCUUUUUAACACCGAGAAGUGACGACGAGUGUCUACGGACAUGAAGUAACCGAUACCACGCUUCCAGGAAAAGCCACUAAGCUUCAGUUUGAAUUGAACCGUACCGCAAACCGACACAGGUGGGCAGGAUGAGAAUUCUAAGGCGCUUGAGAGAACUCGGGAGAAGGAACUCGGCAAAUUGAUACCGUAACUUCGGGAGAAGGUAUGCCCUCUAAGGUUAAGGACUUGCUCCGUAAGCCCCGGAGGGUCGCAGAGAAUAGGUGGCUGCGACUGUUUAUUAAAAACACAGCACUCUGCUAACACGAAAGUGGACGUAUAGGGUGUGACGCCUGCCCGGUGCUGGAAGGUUAAUUGAAGAUGUGAGAGCAUCGGAUCGAAGCCCCAGUAAACGGCGGCCGUAACUAUAACGGUCCUAAGGUAGCGAAAUUCCUUGUCGGGUAAGUUCCGACCCGCACGAAUGGCGUAACGAUGGCCACACUGUCUCCUCCCGAGACUCAGCGAAGUUGAAGUGGUUGUGAAGAUGCAAUCUACCCGCUGCUAGACGGAAAGACCCCGUGAACCUUUACUGUAGCUUUGCAUUGGACUUUGAAGUCACUUGUGUAGGAUAGGUGGGAGGCUUUGAAGCAGAGACGCCAGUCUCUGUGGAGCCGUCCUUGAAAUACCACCCUGGUGUCUUUGAGGUUCUAACCCAGGCCCGUAAUCCGGGUCGGGGACCGUGCAUGGUAGGC